rnacentral:misc_RNA from 1 species
UUCUGCUUGCGCAGUCAGUCUCUGCAGAGUUCCCGGCAUUACCCGUUGGCAACAGCAGAUAGGGGUUGCGCUCGUUGCCGGACUUAACCGAACACCUCACGGCACGAGCUGACGACAGCCAUGCAGCACCUCGACUAGCGGCUCUUGAUGUAAUCUCAAGCACCCGAUAUUUCUACCGGUGGCACUAGCCGUUCGAGCCCAGGUAAGGUUCUUCGCGUAGCC